GCUGGGCCGACGGGAAGACGGAUCGAGACGGCCACCAAGGCUCUCUCGUCGCCGGCGGUCGCUCUUUGUCUUCCUCUCCGUUUCGUCGGUGCCUGCUUUGCCUUCAAACCCUACCCCGCGUACGGCCGUCGUCCUUUGGGCGCCCUCACCACCGAACACCCAUGGCGCUUCCGCCUCCUGUCGUACGAAGGCGAGCGGCGUAGAUUUAACGGGGUCUCUCUCUCUCUGCCGCAUCCAUAUGGUACGGCCGUUUGAGGGGGCGCCCCAACUGCUGCCUGCCCACGGCGUGCACAGCGGCGCUGGGGUCCCUUGUCGCGCUCCCUGAAGUGUAGUUUGGGUUUGUCGAUCUUGCCGCAGAUGCGGUGCGGUCCUCCACGACUUCUCCGGCCGGGCGCCCAUCUCGGCCACACCUCUGUCGGUUGGUCGGACGCAGAUCCCCUUGCCACGUCUAGGAUUCAUUGUGUUUACACAUUGUCGUAUUUGGACGACGCCAACCUUUGUUUCCGCUGCGCCUGCCAAGCUUGUGGUUUCGUUGGGCGCUGCUCAAAAUUUGACAUGAUUGUUGUAUUUUGGACGACGCCAACCUUUGUUUCCGCUGCGCCUGCCAAGCUUGUGGUUUCAUUGGGCGCUGCUCAAAAUUUGACAUGUUCAAGGAACAUAUCGCAAAUGGUCAAAAAUUGGGUUAUAAUGCAUUAUGUCCUAUGUCACAGUGCUUAUAGCUCCUUGAUGCUCUACCCGACAUAUGAUUGUUGUAUUUUGGACGACGCCAACCUUUGUUUCCGCUGCGCCUGCCAAGCUUGUGGUUUCAUUGGGCGCUGCUCAAAAUUUGACAUGGGAAUCAAAACAUUGUUAUGCCAGUGCUACUGGGUUUCACUAUGUCUGAUUCUGCUCCUGCUUUUGAGUCUACAUGAUAUAGGCCUAUUAAUGAUGCACACAUUGUCAAUUGGAAGUACCAUGUCAACAGACUGAUUAAGAAAUACAAUAUCUUUGCUUUGGUGGGAUGUAUUUGCAAAAUACCCUGUGUAUUAAGAAACACAUGAUAUUGAGCUGAGUCAAAUGAGAGUGGUACUGCUGCGGAGAGAUGUGCUACUCAACUCCUGUGCAAUUGAUUGGGGAUCUAUGACCUACUGAAGGCACAAAGAUUGCGCAAACAAAACAGUUCCAGUUCAUCCUAUGAACAUACUAAUUCAGAUUGGAGAACGCCCAGGGGCUCAGCAAACUGUGGUCUAUGGCUUCGAACUUUGCCAAUUCGAUACCUGAUAGAUCAUUUUGAGACGAGUUAAGCCCCUGUUUGGAGUGCAAGAAACAAAACAGAUGGAGAAGGAAAGAGGUGUCAGAGGAGAUAAGACCCAGCGCCUGAUCAUCGUUUAUUCGUUUUUGAUACUAUAGCCACUGGAAUCAGUCUGCAACCAAAUCGUAGUCCUAUUAUCUGGAACUGUAAUGAACAUCAGUUAGCAUAUAAUUGAGAGAUGCUGAAUGGAUUGCAGAAAAGUAUCUGCAUCAAAUCCCAGUAAUUUCAGUUAAUUCACUCUGUUGUGUUAGCUAUGUUCCAGUGAUGUUGCGACAUGUUAAUUAUUGCUCUCAUCUUUGAGGGCAAUAUGCUGAACUGAUGGCUCCGCAAGCCGCAAAACAGUGCAUCUUCAGCAUUUUGAUAAA